GUGUUCUCUUGGGCAGCACAUAUACUAAAAUUGGAACGAUACAGAGGUUAGCAUGGCCCCUGUGCAAGGAUGACACGCAAAUUCAUGAAGCGUUCCAUAUUAAU
ensembl:snRNA U6 U6 spliceosomal RNA